UGGGGAAUAUUGGACAAUGGGCGCAAGCCUGAUCCAGCCAUGCCGCGUGAGUGACGAAGGCCUUAGGGUUGUAAAGCUCUUUUGGCGGGGAAGAUAAUGACGGUACCCGCAGAAUAAGCUCCGGCUAACUUCGUGCCAGCAGCCGCGGUAAUACGAAGGGAGCUAGCGUUGUUCGGAAUCACUGGGCGUAAAGCGCACGUAGGUGGAUAGUUAAGUGAGGGGUGAAAGCCCGAGGCUCAACCUCGGAAUUGCCUCUCAUACUGGCUGUCUCGAGUCCGAGAGAGGUGGGUGGAAUUCCUAGUGUAGAGGUGAAAUUCGUAGAUAUUAGGAAGAACACCGGUGGCGAAGGCGGCCCACUGGCUCGGUACUGACACUGAGGUGCGAAAGCGUGGGGAGCAAACAGGAUUAGAUACCCUCGUAGUCCCUGAGCGGGCUGGCAAGGCGCAU
rnacentral:rRNA from 1 species